UACGUAGGGUGCAAGCGUUGUCCGGAAUUAUUGGGCGUAAAGAGCUCGUAGGCGGUUUGUCGCGUCGAAUGUGAAAACCCGGGGCUCAACCCCGGGCCUGCAUUCGAUACGGGCAGACUAGAGUUCGGUAGGGGAGUCUGGAAUUCCUGGUGUAGCGGUGAAAUGCGCAGAUAUCAGGAGGAACACCGGUGGCGAAGGCGGGACUCUGGGCCGAUACUGACGCUGAGGAGCGAAAGCGUGGGAGCAAACAG
rnacentral:rRNA from 1 species